rnacentral:misc_RNA from 1 species
GUCUCCUUCGACGGCGUCGUCGCCACCAGCAACAGCGCAGCUCUUGUGCGUGCGUGCCUGUGCGCGUGCCAUCGACCCCUUUGCCCAGUCUCAAGUUGCCCGUUCACUUUAGAGCGCCACGAUCGACGACCAACAGGGCCUCUCGAAGCAGCCAGAGAGAGGGAGAGGCACGAGCACGCGAGGUCGAAACGUACACACACCUUCACGCUGGAGAAGAGCGCGGAAGAGAUGCAACGCUGCCUCGCUCGGCUGUUUCAAGCGGGCGUACAUACACCGCAUGGCUCGCGAUACAAUGCGGCACGGAUGAAGAACUGGCCCGUGCAGGAGGUGCCGCAGAACUUUAGCUUCACGAAUGAACAGCGCUUCAAGGCGAAGGCCGUGCCGCGAGACACGGGAAAGAUCCCGCGCGACUUUCUGCUGUCCGUGCUGUACCGCAACCAACCUUGUGAGGUGGCAUCUCUAUGGGAGCACUGCCUGAACGAUCCGCAGAUUGUGCUGGACAGCAAGCGACACCUGCGCGAGGUCCUGCAGCAGGCCCGCGCGGAGGGGUUUGUCUCGUUCGAGAAGGACGCCGUGACAGACCGUUGGGUGUGCCACUUGACGCGUGAGAGGUUCGAGGAGGUCCGUGCGCUGGUGGGCGCGCGGGCAGAAGCGCAGGAUUUGUACUCAGGCCUGCGCGGCGCGUCAGCGACGGAGACGUCGGCAUACUCGGAGAGCUUCCGAGAGAUGAACGAGGACACGAAGCGGGAGCACUUGCGCCUGCUGUCAGAGCAGGUGGCCGACACCACCACCCAUCUCCGAAAGUUUCAGCGGAUGGAGAUGGACUACCUGCCGUACACCGACUUGAACGGCAAGGUGAACUUUAUGUGGUGGUACGAGAUGAGCGACACCCGCGACGCUACUGCGCUGCCAGAGGCAGCGGCGGAGGGCAGUCCGAAGCUGAGUGAGUAGUUUGGAGGUUGGUGGUUGGGGUGAGAAAGAUGCACGUCUGCAAUCCGGUGUGCGUUCGCUGCAUUGACCGAGGCGAUCGUUUGCUCGUACCGUAAACCCGAGAAGAAAACCAUCGCCCACAUCGCAUAAGCGAAGCGACGGCUGCGCGCAGACGCAAAGUGAGCGAGGCAUGUGUGGCCGGGGGAACGUCGGAGCCGAUUCUGCCAGCAGACGCCCAGUGCACCGACAUGUGCACAGAGGAGAUGGAUGCAGGAUGCUUUGCUGGGACGCUUUUCUUCCGCUCUCCAUUGAUCGCCCUCGACCCAGCUCUCCGCCGUCGCCGAACUCCACCUCUGUACGGAGUUUUUCUGUGUUUGGGUAUGCGCGCUCGCUUGACUUCACGGCUGGUGCCUUUGCCAUUCCAGCUAAUCCUGUCAUUCCUCAUCGAUGUCUCUCCUUUUCCGCCCCUCACCCCUCCUCUGUCUUUUACACUGCCCACACACGCCGCUGGCGUUCUUCCUGCGUUGCACUGCAUGUCGUCCUCCCUCCCCCGUUCCCUCCGCGAUCUCGCACCUCUCUGCGCGCACCAUGGCGCUCGCAACGGAG